GCCGAGGUAUCCAAGCGGCUACGGAGACGGUCUCGAAAACCGUUGCCCUUGAGGCUCGUGAGUCCUGAUGUAAUUCAUAGACAUUGGGCACGAAUUCGAAUCUCAUCCUCGGCGCCA
rnacentral:tRNA from 1 species